rnacentral:lncRNA from 1 species
CGAUAAUCAGCUGGCCAGUCUGUUCCGACGUACAUUUGAAACCGAAGACCCUGGAUAACUUUCAGAAGUCUCUGACAUGGCAGUGUAACAGAGGAGCUUUUCCUGUUCGAGACAAGCUCAGAAGGCCCUCCGACAUGUCCAAGAUGCGAGCAGGAUAGGGAAACCGUCCCGCAUGCUAUUGUUCAAUGUUUGGAGGUGUGGGUUUAUGCCGAACAACUGUUGUCAAGUACACGAAGAGUACAGCCGUCGACUGAGUCUAUUGUAAAAACUGACUUACCGGAUUUCCUCUCGAAAGAAGGUAAGAAUUGUUUUCUCGAUGUAGUUGCAAUCGCGAGUGAGGUGAUUUGGAAGACGAGGCUGAAAGGUAUAGAGUCAGGCAAUUUCAUCUCUGGCCCUGGAUUGAUGAAUUACUUCAUCUUCUACCUGAAAAGGAAAAUAGGGCUGGAGAGAAAAUACCUGACUGAGAAAGUGUUUGAAAAUCGAUGGAAGAGUGUAGCACGGAUGUUGCGUGUGGCUGGAAUCGCAUGAAUGCAAAAGAGGACGAAACCCACGUAUCAGUGGCGAGGCGGGGCUCGUGGGGUCCGAAUUAACCCCCCCCCUCACUCCAUCCGUAAUGUCUUCCGGUCUGUCCCAUCAUUCGAUUUUUCCUAUUUUAUUGUAUUUUGUAAUUAAAUGUAAAUUUUUAAUUUCAUCCUCUGUGUAAAAUCAUUCGUUAAUCUGGCCCCAAAUCAGGUUGUAUUGUCCCCUCUUUGUUCGCUCCUUGUGGGUAAUAAAAAACAGUUCUAUGUAGGCAAUUUUGUAUCUCUUCUGUUAUUUAAUCUACCAGCAAUUAUGUGUCAGAUGUUAUUUUGCUCGCAUUUGAGGCAGUUAACUUCUAUCUCAGCCAAGCUUCAAUAGAAUUUUCACCAGUAAAUGUGAAUCCGUUUAACUGACUUUUGUUUGUAAGUUGUCCAUUUAUCUGUUGCAUUUAUUUAACUUCACAACACAGAUGAUAAUAAUAAUGAAAUUAUUGUAUACAAUGCUCGGGUGCACCACAACAUGAUCUCUCUGACAUGAAAACUUGAAAACGUCUCUGUUCGUUCUCACAUUUUACUACAUAAUCCUUCCAGUGACUUUCCAAUCUACGUUUUCUCAAGCACAUUUGUGCUUUGAUGUUGCAAAUUAGUAUCUAGAAUUUUCCAAGUUUGAAUUCUUUAAUAUGCACUCGCAAACCGUAUGUUGCAGAAUUACUUGGGUGGAGGUACUUUUUUUUUUUUUUACCUAAUGAGAUAUGUUGAGAUAAUUUUUCCUACAACUAUUUAGAAAAUUAUGGAACACUUAUAUACAACAGAAAUUUUGUUGUUGUGUUUAUGAACCUUUAAAUUUUCUAUGACAAUUUUUGUUGUAAUCAUUUUAGAGUGCAUUCUUAUAGCUAAUGGCAUUUAUAAGAUGAACUAGAGAAAUUCAGACUUCGUCUAUUACAUCUGAACUAUUAAACAAAAGCCCAAGGAGUUCAUGGCUAUAAAAUUAUUUAUAAAAAAAAGAUUAGGCUUGUCAGCAGAUAUGUAGAAAAACAUGAUUACUUGUAUGAAGUAAAGAAGUAGAAAUUCUUACAAAAAAAAGGUGAAAGGCUAAAUCAUUUUGAUAUUUUAGAGAAUGAGAAACUAAAAAUAGAAUAGACGAUUAUAAUUUAAAAAAAAGCUACUUUAAAGGAAUUAUUAAAAUAUUUAGAUUAAACCUUAAUGUGAGUAAUACAAUACAGGAAGAUUUAAUUGAGUUGAAUAAUACAAAUCUAGAAAUAGUUAAGAAUAGGUGAGAAAUGCUCACAAUCUACAAGAGAGAAGGCAUAUCUUUUAUCCUGAAGAAAAAAAGAUAGAAAUCAAAGAUUGCAAAGUUGUUUAAGACAUUAGGCAUAACACAGAAGAAAUUCUAUUUAAAAGAAUUCUUUUCAGGAGAAAUAAUGGAAGAAAAUACAUUAUCAAUGGAUAUCUCAAAAACAUGAAAGAACAUUGCAAAAUUAGUUAUGAAAACAUGUAUCUGCCUUCCAUAUUCCUUAAAGACACAAGUUAAAAAGAAGAAGAAGAUAAUAAUAAAGAAAAAAAGGAUUGGUUGCUUUUAAAGAAUAAUUACCUGUAAAAAAAGUGUAGGGAAAUGCAAGCGAGCAGCAAGCGAAAUAUGGGUUGGUAGGAAAGUGAUAAGAAAAAUCGAUAUACACGAGGAAAGUAGUAGCAAGGUGUUAAACGUGUUGUAGGCAUAUUGAAAUGCAGUCACUUAGUAUCUAAGAUCCAAACAAGUUGCGCAAAAAUACAAAUAAAUAAAAACAGGAAUUAGAAGAUUGCUGUAAUUUUUCUAUUCUGUAAUACAUGCAUGCAUACAUACAUACAUACAUACAUACAUACAUACAUACAUACAUACAUGCAUACAUACACACACACACACAUACUUACACAUACAUACAUAUAUACAUGUAUGUAUGCAUACAUACAUACAUAUACAUACAUAUAUAUACAUACAUACAUAUACAUAUAUAUACAUACAUACAUAUACAUAUAUAUACAUACAUACAUAUACAUAUAUAUACAUACAUACAUAUACAUAUAUAUACAUACAUACAUAUACAUAUAUAUACAUACAUACAUAUACAUAUAUAUACAUACAUACAUAUAUAUACAUACAUACAUAUAUAUACAUACAUACAUAUAUAUACAUACAUACAUAUAUAUACAUACAUAUAUAUAUAUAUAUAUAUAUAUAUAUAUAUAUAUAUGCAUGAGCAGAUAGAGAGAGAGGGAGAGAGAGAAUGAUUGAUUGCUUUUUUUUGUUCUCUGAAUUAAAUAAGGAAAACUAAGAAAAUAGACCAUAAUACAAUCUUUCAGGUAAUGAGGAAAUCUGUUAUGGCACUAACAUUUUCUGCUUCAUUAAUUCAACGAUGUGAAGAAAUCUAAAAGAAUAAACUGAACAUUUAACUGAAAUUAAAUUUAAAAUUGUGAAACAAAGAAUGAAACAUGAUAAAACAUUUGAUAAACAUAAUAAACAAUUGAAAAUUAUUAAAUUGAAUCAGCUUCAGAAUAUUGUCUUCCCAAAGUACAUUACUAAUUCCGACAAAAAAAAAUAUAGAAGACAUUUUAAAAUUAUCUCCCCUGUAUCUCUUGACUAGAAUUAGUUAUUUAGCUAAUGAUUUUUCUCUUUACUACGAAUGCAAUUUUAACUUAUUAUUUUGGUAUGAAAGAAUUUUUUUAAAUAGAAUUUCUUCUGUGUUAUGCAGUACUCCAACUUUGCAAUCUUUGAUUUCCAUCUGUUUUCUUCUUUUUCCUUCAAGGUAAAAGGUAAAAUUUCUUGGAUCAAUGUAUUAAGUAUACUGGCAUCAACUUUACCAUUUGUGAUUCAUGCAGCAGGCAUCCCUACAUUUUUCUCUCUAACCAUUCACAGUAUCACGCCUGUCAGUGUCCAGUCACUAAAACUAUGUGUCUAUAUAUGCAUGUGUGUGUGUGUGUGUGUGUGUGUGUGUGUGUGUGUGUGUGUGUGUGUGUGUGUGUGUGUGCUUUAUAAGCAUACUGUGUUAGAAAGAGAAACAAUAUACUUUAGAGUUAGGCGAAAUGAAAUUGCCCAGAAAUGACCACAGGAAUGACACAUACGUAUUUCGUUGUUUUUUGUGGUUUAUCAAUAUCAAGUACUCGUGCCACUUCCAAAAUGAAAUUGAAUCAUCAAGAUUGAAGUGUGUAGAAAUAGUAUAUAAAUUAUACACUAGUUUACAAAGGCAAACAUUUCAGCUUUAUAGAUAUUCAUAUAUAUAUAUAUAUAUAUAUAUAUAUAUAUAUAUAUAUAUAUUGAUAUUUGGCAGAAGUAAGGCAGCAAGCUAAUAGAUACUUUUCUGCUCCAGGUAAAAUGCUUAGCGCCAUUUCAUCUGUCUUUAUGUUCUAAGUUCAAAUUCCGUUGAGGUCAGCUUUGCCUUUCAUCCCUUUCUGGCCCGAUAAUACAAAGUACCAGUUAAGUGCUGGCAUCAAUGUAAUUGACUUAUCUCCUCCCUCAAAAUUGCUGACCUUGUGUCAAACUUUGAAAUCAAUAUUUAGCAGAAGUAACAGAUUGACUCAAGCACCGAAAGUGGAUGUAUUCCAUCUCAAUCACUAAUUUGUUAAUUAAUUUUUUUUUUUAUCUAAACAGUUUGAAACUUGGAAUACUGGUGGAAUUUAUCACGUAGAACACUGUUUACUUUGGACGUUUUUAUUUCGUGUUAAAGUGUAUUCAGUUGAAGAAAGUUACUACUGUUUGCGAUAGUAAUCAAAGAGGAACAACUUCUGGGUCAUCUCUACUAAAUGUCACCACUCUGUUCGAAGAAUCAACACCAUAGUGCAACAGGUCCUCAGCUAACUUUUUGGUUGUUGAUGUAUAUGUAGUUUUAAAAUGCUUUAUUUUACAACUAUGGGACGUACUGUUAUUGUCAUGAUUUUAUCUAUAUAUAUAUAUAUAUAUAUAUAUAUAUAUAUAUAUAUAUAUAUAUAUAUAUAUAUAUAUAUAUAUAUAUAACAGCAACAAACACAUUUCGUCAAUAUAAAAGUCUUUAUUAGAUAAAAAAUUAACACUAUCAAAACAUGAAGGUAAAACAAAACAAAUAGUGGCUUAUACACCGGAAAAUAUUGCAAUUAUGGUGGCAAUAACAAGUUCGCUCGCUGGUUGCUAGUUGAUAGUGUAGAAGGGAAGGAAAGAGUAAGGAAUGCACGGUGCUGACUAGAAAGGAAGAAAGGAUAAAGAUGGUUCAAUUGCCAUACGAAUAGAACAGAGUGGUGACAUUUAUUAGAGAUGACCCAGAAGUUGUUCCUCUUCAAUUAUUAUCACAAACAGUAGUAACUUUCUUCAACCAAAUACACAUUGUUGAUUGGUUGAAAUUACCCAAAUACGACAACUUUAACACGAAAUAACUUCUAAAAUACGAAAUGUUGUCAAAAACGUUCAGAGUAAACCGUGUUCUACGUGAGAAAUUCCAUCAGUAUUCAAAGUUUCAAACUGUUUAGUUAAAAAAAUUAAUUAAAAAAUCUGUGAUUGAGAUGGAAAUAGAUCCCCAAAAGUUCCAUGCAUUAGCAUUUACCAAAUAUUUAUAUAAAUUUUAGAUCAUAGAUGUUUAUUUAAAAAAGUGCAAGAAAUAUUUUUAUUUGUAAUCCAAAAUCAGAAUAGAACUGUGAAAAGUAUUUAGUCUGCCGAUCAAGUUGCAAUAUCUGUUUUUAUGGUUGUAAAUCACUUUCUAAUCACGGUCAUCUUGACAGUCUAGACAUCGGAUUGUUUUUACAGGUCGGUAAGAAUGCUUUAGAAUUAUCAGGCCUGACUUAAUUAUAGCAGUUUGCAAUUUUCAAACUCAGAUAAGCAUUGAUCUUUUUUUUUCUGUUUUGCCAAACUUUGUCUUUAAUAAAGUUUGUAAAAUAAGAUAUGAAAAAAUGAGUUCUGGCGUUUCGAGCAGGGCUUUUCUCCAAAGUAAUGGCGAGUGUUGGAGGAUCGUUAUUCUCAAAUCUCUGACCAAAUAUUUUGCAUGAAACAAAUUCUUUCUUAAGUCACACAUUUUGUUUUGCAAAUUUCAUAUUUUUAACUUUCUUGUCCAUGCAGUCCAUUACUAAUUUCCUGAGAGUCUAGUCAUUAUCAUUGUCAGCGGUACCGUCGUCGCCUCAACAAUGUUAUCAGAGGUGGUGAUGGUGUCAUCAGUGUUGACAAUGUCAGCAGUGGUAGCGUCCUCGUUGUCGACGGCGGCGACGUAUUCUUUGUUUCAACGGUAAUAAUCCUUUCUACUAUAGGCACAAGGCCUGGAAUUUUGGGGGACUGGUACUUAAUUUAUCGACCAUGAAAGGAUGAACGGCAAAGUCGACCUCAGCAGAAUUUGAACUCAGGACGUACAGGCAGAUGAAAUGCCGUUAAGCAUUUCGUCCAGCGUGCAAACGAUUCUGCCAGCUCGCCGCCUUGUUUCAACGGUGAUAAUUUUUUCUGCUUUAGAUACAAGGCCUGAAGUUUUGAGGGAAGGGUUCACUCAACUAGAUCAACCCCAGUACGCAACUGGUACUUAAUUUAUCGACCCCCAAAAGGAUGAAAGGCCGACUUUGUUGGAAUUUGAAUUCAGAACGUAAAGCCAGACGCAAUGUUGCUAAGCAUUUCGCCUGCCAUGCUAACGUUUCUGCCAGCUGGCCGUCUUUGUUUCAAUGGGGAAGCAACAAAUUCAAUAGUUUUUUUUGUUUUGAUUUUUGUAUUUUCUUUUUUAAUUUUAUUUCCUUAAUUUAAGAAACCCUAACUCCAUAUCCCAGCAAAAUCGACCAUACAAUGUCAUCCUUUCGACAUCGACAAAUUAUAUACCAGUCACGUAUUUGGAAUGUUUCAAUCAGCAACAAAUUCCUGGUACAGCUUAAAGUCAACUACUUUGGCACAGUAUUAUCUUUUAUUUUGUAGUGUAUUGUAUUAUAUCAUCGCGUAUUGUUAUCAUGAAUGGCUUUCAAACAAAAUAUUCAUUCUCAAUAUAUAACUCCAGGAAGACCUCGUACUGGUGUAAGAAAUCAAUAUAUAACUCUUGUAAGGUGGAGGGGAUGGGACAGUUUUGCAUAUUCUUCAAAGACGUUUGACAUUUUCAAAGGAAAUCGCCCUGGCAACCCUGGCUAACAACCUGGUACGUUGGAACUACACCAGCACAGUUUAAAUAUUCAGGUCUGUGAGCUUAUAUGUGAGAGAAUUGAAGAGGAAAUAAAAAGAGGGGGACAAAAACUCACGAGAAGAAAAACUAAAGCAAACAGUGGAUAUGUCAGACUCAUUUCCAACGAACUAGAGGCAGCAUUAUGGUAGCCCUCCUUUAUUAUUGCAGUAAAUCGCAAUAAAGAAUUGGUAAACUGUCCGAAACUCAGUUUCCUUUCGUAGUUGCACCUGCAACAGUCAGGUUGUCAUAGACUGGUAUAUUUGGUAAUUUGGAUAAUGCUACGAAAAGUUCCCUAGUUGAUAAUGUCAGGAUACCUGGAAAUAAAUUAAAAGAAGGAACGGUUCAUACUUCUAACUUUUAAACCGUUAUGAAGUUUAUCACAACUGCGACGAGUUGGAAUAAAAAUAAAAACAAUUAGUCUCUUUGAUAAUCCCUCGUCAUUGUUUUUAUAGAAGGCUUUCUAUUAAGUUGUGUGGGGAGAAAAUGAUAAUGAACUAGGGCUCGCCAUUGAUGGCAAGAUGAAAAGUAGAGAGAGGUUUGCUCUCUGAAAGUUGCCGAGCGAGGGGAGAGAGAAUGGGGAGGUAAACUCUCUGACAAAUACUGAGUAAAGAUAAUGUUUGGUUAUGUAAUUCUCCUAUUUAUACUUGUCCUACGACUAAACUGGGUCAUGUGGAAACUACAUUUUAUUUUCUGGGCUGAGUUUUAUUUUCUACGCAUUUCGCCUGGCAUGCAAAUGAUUCUGCCAGCUCACCGCCUAUACCAGCUCGCAUUUUGUCCAGCAUCCUAACGAUACUGGCAGAUUACCACCUUGCAUAAUAGUAAUAAUAAUAUCACCAUACCACAUUCCUCAUUCAACUUCAGUACAUAAAUAUCACCUACUUGCAAUUUUGACACUUCUUUUCAGCCAUACACAAUCUCCAUGAACAGUGACUUCGAAUUCCUCAACAUUAUCUCCAACAAAUAAGCCUCUAUGGGAUCGAUCGGCAUUCUAGUAACAGCCGGUAAAUCUCGCUUAAAUCACACCCUAACAUUUUACAAAUAAAAAAAAAAGGAAAAGACACACUGAGUUACACAAGACUAGCUCGAAACACUACCUGAAAUACAAGCGGUUACAACUGGAAUAAACUUUGAUCAUCGGUUUGCUUAGUCAGAGCUUACCUUGUAUUAAUUAAACAGUAAGAAUAAUUCGUGUUGUGAAAGAGACUUCACAAUACAAAAAGGCAGAUUCUGUAAACAUAUUCUUUAUUUCCCUUCCUUUUCUUAACAAGACUUUUUUAUGAUAAUUGUUUUUCGUUUCAUUCCGGAUAUAAUUUCAAUUGAUUGAAAAUUGCUUUUUUGCUCCCUAUAUUAAGUAGUAAAGAACCCAUUUAACCAUAAAUUACAUUUCUCUUAGUCUAAAUUUCAUGUUCAGUGCAAGAAAAUAUUGCUUCAGUCUUGAACAGGUGUGAUACUACCUGGAGCAGUCAAUAUUUAUUUAUGUCAAACAAGUACGAUAAAUAAAAUCAAUUUUCUCACAUUAAGAAAAUCUCAACAUCCUAUAAAGAUAUUUCAAAAUCUUGUUAAAAGAAGCUGUGGGAAAAUAAGCAGAAAGUAAAGGUUUCCCGUUUCUUUCUUUAUUUUUGUUUAUAAACAGCUUCUAAAAUUAGAUCUGAUUUGAAAACGAGAAAGUUGUAUUCCUAAUUGCUUUAACUUUUUUUUUUCUAAAGAAACCGAAUCUGGUUGCUUGCUUCCACUACAUUGUUGAUUGUUUUGAAUUGCUCUGAACCAUUAAGGAGUGAAUGUGUGUGUGCACGCGCGCUUCUGGGGAAUGGUGGAGGAAGAAGGGAAAACCCUGUGAAAGUAAACUGAUAUAAAUCAACUAACCUGGUCGUCGUGUCUUGAAUUCAGGGGUCCCCCCCCCCCCCAUGAAGAACCAUGUUCAGCAUUCCAAAUGCCAUUCACACAACUAAUGCUAAAGCAACAUGGUGUAGUAAUGAAGCAAAUCUCGGAGCGCUGUAUUCUCUGAAGCCUGUUUGUCAUUUCCCUUUUCUUGUUUACCACACAUCAUUUACAAUGCCACAUUCUCGCCAGUUUAGAUAUAGUUUUAGCAUUAGUCUUCGAAAAAUAUAUGAAGUAUCGAUAUUAAUAUUUGCGACUAUUUACACUCUGAGUUCAAAUUCUACCAAAGUCGACUUUGCUCUUCAUCCUUUCGGGGUCAAUAAAAUAAGUACCUUUUGAGAACUGGAGUUGAUGUAAUCCACUAUCCCCGUCCCACAAAAUUUCAAGUCUUGUGUCUAUGGAAGAGAGAGAGAAAUAUUAGGAAACUUAUGCAAAACUAUUUAGAUGUUUUUGUUGGGUUUUUUUCCCCACUAUAAACAUAAGAGCAAGCUGUUCGAAUAGUUAGAGCGUCGAUAAAAAUGCUUUGCAGUUUUUGUUCCGAGUCUGUACAUUCUGAGUUCAAAUCCCACUGAGGUCAACUUUGCCUUUCACCUCUCUGGAACUGAUAACAUAAAGUAUCUGUCAAGCACUUGGGUGGAUGGUACCGACUAACCCUCCCCAAAAUUCCAGGCCUUGUACCUAAAUCAAAGACCAUAAAAUAUAAAACACAAAUCCUAAAAGAUUUCCACUCUUUGGUCAUAUUAGAUCAUCAUAACCGAGUCUUUUAAGUUACAAUUUAUAUUUCCAAAGACAUAGCAACAGAAGAAUUCUGGACACGUAAAUAAAUAUCAUAUGAAUGCCUAGUUUUCUUCAGCACAAAUGAACCGAUUAAGUUUCACGGCAUAAUAAAGAGAGGGUGUAACCCAAGAAUAUUCCAAUAAAUAACUUCAUAUUACUUAUGACCAUUGAUAUUUCAAAUCUUAACUGCUGAGUUAACUAUGAUUUAGUUAAGUUUAGAUGAAUAUAUUAUAACCGUUGAUGCUCCAGUAAAUCAAAAUAAAUUACUGACAGAACCAAAUUAUUUUCCUGUUGUCUAGACACAUUGUCGCUAAACGACAAGGUUGCUUUACUCUAUUGAGAAAACCACUUUGCUUCUAAAACUCUGUUUAUCACACAUCAUCUCUUUCAUAUGCAUAUUUCAUGUUUUACACCUGCUUACUCAUCUAUUAGCUAUUUCGUUGACGUCAUUGUAACAAACACCAGAGAGAUAGAAACCGGUUCAAGCAUAUCCGUUUAGUUAAAUGUUUUGUUUGACUUUUUUUUAUGUUGUAGUUUUAUUUAAGAUCUGUUGUUUUUGUUGCUGCUAACUGCUCGUGUCCGCCUGUACAAAUGCUAAACAUGUUUUGUAAGUUGAGGUUACCAUCCAUUGUUCAAAUUCUCAGAAAUGGUUCUCAAGAAAAGUAAAGCAACCUUCUUGUCGUUUAGUGGUAGUAUGUCUAGAAUACGGGAAAACAUCUGGCUCUGACCACAUUUCAUUUCGACUUACUCAAGUAUGAAGAACUAUAAUUUAUUCCCUCUUAACUUACUAAAUUAUGAUUCACUAAACAGCUAAAAGUUAAAACAUCGAUGUUUACAAAUAAUAUAAAGUUGAAUGGAGCAUUCUAGAGCUACAGCCUAUUUUCAUUGUCUUUUCAAUAAAAGUAGAUUUGUGCGGAGGAAAACUUGUGGUAUUCGUUAGAGCUUUAGACAUGAUUAUUGCCCAGAGUUCUUAUGUUGCUAUGUCAUAAAUUGGAGCUAACAAGCCGAGAGCUCUACAUAACUUUCCUUUAUGUUCUUCAACUUUUUUAAAGAGUAUGGUUCAACAUAAUUGGCAACGUGUGUCUAUUGGAGUUGUGAUAGAACAAUUCCUCUACUAAUGACAGAGUUUCACACAGAAACGUGAGUCCAAACCUGUCCUCUUAAUGGCAUGUCAAUUCCGGAUAAUUUCUUGAUUCUUGAAAGCCGGUUGCUAUUGUCACAGAGCCUUUGUUUGCCUUCUCUCAAAACAAAGAUUUAUAUCUAUGUACCCAGGCCUAUUCCCCUUUUUUUUAUGAAGAGGUAGCCGCAACAAGAUAUACACUAGGCAUUCCAGUCAUUUCCCAGCUCAAAGAGGCGAGUCCCGUUCUAUGCUCGGGUCAAGGCAUUGAACGCAACCCCCAAUAUCAGCAAUGGGGCCCGACAGCUUGUGCUGGUUCUGUAUCACAUUGAGCAACAUCAAAUUCAAUCAUCCAUCUCCAAACACUCUCCAAGCUUUCCUAUCAUUUAUAAACUCUCUUGCUCUCACACUCCAACACCUCUAACCACCAAAGCUUUCCUCACUCCAUCCAUCCACACAAACCGAGGUCUGUCUACCACUUCUGGUCGCCUCCUUUCCGCUUCUCUCAGCCCCCACGUCUCUGCACCAUAUAACAAUGUCAGCAAUGUUAUAUGGGGCAAAAAAAUUAGCAUCACUUGUUUUCUGUCGAUUUCUCGAUUUCGGUUGAAAAAGAAUUACCAUUGCUUGUUGCUUUCCAUAUAUUGUCAGUUUGUCGGUUUGUCUCAUAAUCUUAUUAACUCAGUUUUUGAAAUAAAAGAAAACAUUUUUUCAGUCUCGGCGGACAGUCGACAAUUCAUUUAAUUUUAUUAUCCUGAAAAAAUGAAAAUUUUUAACCCAUUCAGAUCUAUAAUAUCACUUAUGAACGUUUAAGUACCUGAUGCGACAGUGAGUUUAAAUCAGACAACUGGAAAAUAAUGUGUAUGGCAGAAACACGAAGCUGUCAUAUUCCUCAUCUUCAUCAGGUUUAUGAUCAGAAUAAUACUGAAUGUUGAAGACAUGUUGAACAGCGCCAUCUGUAAUAAAGAUUUCUAAGAAGUCAUAUUCCACAUCACUUGCAGUUUGGUAUAUCAUGUAAAAAGUUAUUAAAGUUACUCUUGAAAUGGUAAUUUUACAAAAUUCUGACCUCAAUGUACGAUUUUGCUUGUGGUUAUGUUACUUUGUUAGGAUCAAUUCACUACACGAGCUACGUUAAACCAUAAAAGCUUUUUUCCUUUUUUUUUUUCUGAAUAAAGAAAUAAUUCAGGCUUGAAAGAGUUAAUUGAUAAAUUAUAAUAAAUGGCAAUUCCUCUAAGUGAUAAAAUAAAAUUUAAAUAAUCCACUAAACAAUGAAAUUACUUGCUUAAUUCUAAACAGUAGAAUAGGAGAGCCCUUUUUGUUUUUUUAACCUCAAAAAAUUUCUUCGAAUUCCCAUGUUUUCAACUUCUUUCAUAUGUAUUAUAUGUGUGUGUGUGUGUGUGUGUGUAUACACACACAUGCUUGUGUAUUUAUUUUGCAAGAUUCCUGAUGCGAAAGCGUGUAUUGAAACAGAUAUUGAUAUAUUUGGGGCACUAUAUAUUUGGUCUUCACUUCAGCUUUAUUAUUAUUAUUAUUAUUAUUAUUAUUAUUAUUAUUAUUAUUUCUCUUUAUCACAGGUUUUUGGAGCUCCUGGAGUCUUGCAUGUGUAGCGGGCUUACGGUAAGAUCCUAUCCGUUUUUUUGUCCUUUUUUUCCAGCUAUUUACUACUUUCCUGGUUAUUCUGGCCAUGCCAAGAUAGCAAACCUUUUGUAGCAGUUUUCCUUGGCAUUCUAUUCCAACUUCCUUUAUCUUGAAAUCUGAUACUUUUCUCAAGGACCCAACAAUAAUUAGCUCUAUCGUCA